GCCAGGAAUGAUGACCUGUGCCUGUAAUCCCUGUUGCUGGGGAGGCUAAGGGUAGCAGAAUUCAUGGGCUAGGGGGUUCUGAGCUGCAGUGUGCAUAGAAUUGGAUGUUGACAUUAAAUUUGGCAUUAAUAUGGUGAGUCUCUGGGAGCAGGAGACCACCAGGUUGCCUAAGCAGGAAACCAGUCCAGGCUAGAAACAGAACAGGCUUAAAGCUCUGGUGCUGAUCAGUAAUGAGAGGAGACCUAUGAAUAGUCCUUGUAUUUUUAGUCUGGGUGAGAUAGGAAGAUCCAAUCUUCU
rnacentral:SRP_RNA from 1 species